UAUCCUCCGUUCUUCUUCCUCUAUACAAUUUCCUUCGAUCCUUUCCCCAGUAAAACGCAGCAUUUUAGUUUAACCGUUUCUUACCCUCUUCUUCCUCAAGACGCGGGAUUCAACCACUUUCCAGAUUAGGGUUUCUUGCCAUUAGCCAAGGAGUUCGAAUCUUCAUAUGAUUCCCAGCCUGUGUUGCCUCAUUCAUCGACCUUCCAUGGACUCUACUCAAUUGGCCUCUAAUCAAAGAAAAAAGGAAAAACCUGACAAGUACAAACCAUGAAGUUCCAUCUGUUUUCUAGAUGAGGAAGUGUUUCUUAUUGCAUUCCUUAUUGUCUUCCUGUCAUUGAUGGUGUGCUUGAGUGGCUCUUAGAGCUGUAUCCUGAAUGCUCUAGAUGAGGGUUGCUAAUCACAUCCUACAAAAGAUCUCUCUGCAAUGGGUCAAACCUUAAACAAUAAUUCAAAACUAUUUAGUUUAAUAUGCACAUUUGGUUUGAUAUUGAGGAUUUCUAAGAACCAUGAUAAGUAUUAGGAUGGUUGAUGAAUGUUAUGCUGCUACAUUUGGUACACAUAGAGGGCUAGAAUCCCAAAAAAAAUACAAAAAAAAAAAAGGAAGGAAAAUACUUCCCAUCCCAUAGACCUAUGCCAGCAUUUUAAAUACUUCCCAAGUUAUUGGGCCACACCUUUGUCUAGGAGAUCUUCUAUAUGUGAUUCAUGGUAGGUUUUACUCAUCUAUCCCUUGGUAUGUCUGCCCUAUGUGCCAGGAAGAUGUCUGUACCCCCAAUAAAUAACCAAGGUUUCCGGAUUGACUUCUUGCAUAAGUAAAUAAUUCCUGGUAAUUAUCAUAUAAUUAAUGCUUAAGCAUUUUGUGAUUUGCAUCACUACUGCAGUUUUUGAAAUUAUUCUCUAAGAGGUACUUUUUUUGUAACAUUUAAAAACAUUAAUUUUUUUUUCCCCAUAGCAUUUGAAUGAGUCUACUUUGUUUUCACACUAAUGUAGAAUAUGCUAUAUCCAGAUUUCUAGUUAACCUUUACUUUAUUGUUCUGUUAUUCUUUUGGUGAUUUUGAACAAGAUUUAGCCUGAGCUUUUUUGUUGGAACUUCAUGGUAGUGUUCUGCUAUUCUUUUGGUGAUUUAAAAUACUAUAUGAUAUGAGGUUUUUUGUGGUAUUGGUACUUCUAAAUGUUAAUGCAGAAUAUGUAAAUAUUAGGGUCCACAAAUGACCGUACUUUGUUUUUCUGCUGUUGUUUUGGUGAUUUACAUGAAUAUUUUAUGUGAGCCUUUGUAUUAAAAUGUGUCCUGAUGCCACCAGGAAAAAUUCAUACCUAACCAUCUAAUAUUUCAUUUAAACAUGCAAUUGCUAGGAAGUCUGCAUUUUCUAACUAACCUGUGCCAUGGAAACUUGGCUGUGAAUAGGGGAAGGCCCGGAAGGGUCUGCCAUUCUGUCCCACAUUGUUUGGUUCAUGUUUUCUUCGGCAAGUUCCCUCAAUCUGUUAAGCUCUGGCAAGAUAACCUUACCCAGAUCUGGUCUGUCUUUCCGCCUUAGCUCUGCACAUUGAAGUGCCAUCUUUGCAAAGCUCAAGGCUUCUUCAACUGGCCAAUCAGGCACUGCCGGGUCCAAUAUCUCCUUGAAUGUUCCGUUCUCAAUGGCCUGCUCAACUUGGUGAGUCAAGCCCAUUGGUGGCUUGGCUGUUAUCACUUGUAGAAGCAUGAUUCCAAAGGAAUAGACAUCAGAUUUUACAUCGAGCACUCCUGUAUGUUGAUACUCAGGAUCAAUAUAGCAGAAGGUUCCAGCUGUUGAUGUCAUGUGACACCUCAUUUCAUUUUCAGCGACAGAACGGGGUACAAGCCUUGCCAAUCCUACAUCGCUAAUCUUACUGACAUAGUUGUAGUCUAGCAAAAUGUUGCCAGGCUUGAGGUCACGGUGCACUAGUGGCUCUGGCUUGGUCUGGUGGAGAAAAAGCAGGCCAGUGGCAAUCUCUGCAGAGAUUCGAAACCUGAGUUGCCAAGAGAGAGGAGUAAAAGGAAGUCUUCAAUAUGUAUGAUAAGGUGGGACAAAAGAGAAGCGCUUCGCAAACUUUGCUAGAUGAAGAAUCCAUCACUGAAGCAAUAGAUUCAACACCCAGAAAUUUUGGAGUUGUUCAGCUACUGCUUGGGUUUGGAUGUGGAGAUUGUACGAAAGAUAAGAGGGGAAACGUGAGGGGCUGUACGAGAAGCAUUUCUCACAGAAGAUAUCUUUCCUUUUGAGAUGACGUACACGGUGCAGAAAUCUGCUGCUCCUUUGGAUACACUGCCUGGAACAUCUGAGAUCUUGAAUCUUCUGUGUGGAAAAGAGUAAAUAAGCUGAGAGAAAUCAGAUUAGACUGUAAACAUCCAUCCAGCGGUGCUCAAUGAAGGAAAUAUUCUAUAAUCUGAAGAAUUGAAAGAGUAGAGCUCCAAAACCUACAUCUUUACGUCUACAAAAGCAAUGGAAGCCUAGAGCCGGUUGUCAUCCCAAUGAGAGACACAAAGACAUGCCUGCAAGAAGAGAAACUACUAACCUCUCUGCAAAAACCAUGUCCUGGUACAAACCGGUAGGAUGACUUGUUCUCAAUCUACUUGUUUAUUGAGGUUGCAUUUCUUGUAUUACAGUUAACAAGAAUCAUCAAUGAUCGAUGACAUAGAACUGCUAAAAUAUAACUUUGAGAUAGAGAAAAAGAAGAAAUGUACUUGUAGGCGAUAUUUUUAGGACAUGGAUGAGAACUACAGUUUGGCCCUUGGUGAGAAGACGCUCAGUAGCCCAUCUCAAAGCAUGUUGGCUCCCUUUAUCCCUGUCUAUGGCCACUGCAACUAUGCCUCUUCCUCCUUGCUUCUCUAUAUGUCCCUUUGGAUUCCACAUUCUCCUUCUUUCUUUGAAAGAAGCCUCCCCUUCUCUUCCCUCUUUUCUUCUUCCUUUUUCUCCAGUAAGAACCAAUCCUCUUCUCUAAUCUACCCCAUAAUUAAUUCUAUCAUAAUAUGGGAUGAUAAGAGAAUAGGAAUAAUAAGACAAAAUGAUUUUCCAAGAAAAUUUAGGAUCAUAAAUUCUCUCCUGUCAUCUCUUUCCUUUUUCACAGAUAUUUCAGGAUAUUUUAUGCAUCUACAUGUAUUAUAAUACUCUGUGUCAUACCUAUUGAUGUUUGAUUUUUGGUUGAUUAAAUGUUUUCUUUUUCUUUUUACAUAA